GUCCCUGUAGCGCAAUAAAUAGCGCGUUGUACUUCUAGUUCAAAGAUCGUGGGUUCGAAUCCUACUUGGGAUG